UACGUAGGGUGCAAGCGUUAAUCGGAAUUACUGGGCGUAAAGCGUGCGCAGGCGGUGAUGUAAGACAGGUGUGAAAUCCCCGGGCUUAACCUGGGAACUGCAUUUGUGACUGCAUCGCUGGAGUGCGGCAGAGGGGGAUGGAAUUCCGCGUGUAGCAGUGAAAUGCGUAGAUAUGCGGAGGAACACCGAUGGCGAAGGCAAUCCCCUGGGCCUGCACUGACGCUCAUGCACGAAGGCCAGGGGAGCAAACAGG
rnacentral:rRNA from 1 species